rnacentral:rRNA from 1 species
GACGAACGCUGGCGGCGUGCUUAAUACAUGCAAGUCGAACGGAAAGGCCCUGCUUUUGUGGGGUGCUCGAGUGGCGAACGGGUGAGUAACACGUGAGUAACCUGCCCUUGACUUUGGGAUAACUUCAGGAAACUGGGGCUAAUACCGGAUAGGAGCUCCUGCUGCAUGGUGGGGGUUGGAAAGUUUCGGCGGUUGGGGAUGGACUCGCGGCUUAUCAGCUUGUUGGUGGGGUAGUGGCUUACCAAGGCUUUGACGGGUAGCCGGCCUGAGAGGGUGACCGGCCACAUUGGGACUGAGAUACGGCCCAGACUCCUACGGGAGGCAGCAGUGGGGAAUAUUGCACAAUGGGCGGAAGCCUGAUGCAGCAACGCCGCGUGCGGGAUGACGGCCCUCGGGUUGUAAACCGCUUUCGCCUGUGACGAAGCGUGAGUGACGGUAAUGGGUAAAGAAGCACCGGCUAACUACGUG